CUACUCACAGUCAGUUUUGCAGGUCUUGCAUCGGCCUAUGUCGAUUGCUGUGCAAAUCCAUGCAAAACUGAUUAUGAGGGCGUUUGCAA
ensembl:miRNA MIR19B2 microRNA 19b-2